CCUACGGGUGGCAGCAGUGGGGAAUAUUGCACAAUGGGGGAAACCCUGAUGCAGCAACGCCGCGUGAGUGAAGAAGUAUUUCGGUAUGUAAAGCUCUAUUAGCAGGGAAGAAGAUAGACGGUACCUGACUAAGAAGCCCCGGCUAACUACGUGCCAGCAGCCGCGGUAAUACGUAGGGGUCAAGCGUUAUCCGGAUUUACUGGGGGUAAAGGGAGCGUAGACGGCUGUACAAGUCUGAAGUGAAAGCCCGGGGCUCAACCGCGGAACUGCUUUGGAAACCGUCUAGCUAGAGUAUUGGUGAGGCAGGCGGAAUUCCUGGUGUAGCGGUGAAAUGCGUAGAUAUUAGGAGGAACACCAGUGGCGAAGGCGGCCUGCUGGACAGAAACUGACGUUGAGGCUCGAAAGCGUGGGGAGCAAACAGGAUUAGAUACCCCUGUAGUC
rnacentral:rRNA from 1 species